AGAAUUCAAAACUUCACACAGACCAAUCAGUUCAGUUGCAUGAGGGCCCACCCACUGAGAAAAACCCGCCAACAAGAAACAACCUUUCCAGAGAAAUUGAAAAUAAAUCCGUCAUUCCCAGAGAGAGAUGGCUAACAAUACAGAACUGUUCGAGUGUCCCAUCUGUUUACAGCUACUAGAGGAUCCGGUGACAACUGGGUGCGGACACAGUUACUGCAAAAAAUGCAUCAACACCUUCUGGGAUGUAAAUAAUAACAGAAGAAGACGUUACAGCUGUCCUCAGUGCCGGGAGACUUUCAACCGGAGGCCUGUUCUGAAGAAGAGCGCGCUUCUGGCUAAUCUGUUGGAGGAACACAAGAGGAAAACCAGCCAAAGUGCUGCUGCUGAUACCGAUGUUGCGCCCGGUGAUGUGUCGUGUGACAUGUGCACAGGGAGAAAACGAAAAGCCUGCAAGUUCUGUCGCGUGUGCUUGGUCUCUUACUGUGAGACUCACCUGCAGCCCCAUUUUGACGUGCCUCCACUUAAAAGACACAGUCUCAUUCCAGCCUCAGCUGGGAUCAAAGAAAGCAUCUGUGGCCGUCACGACAAACUUCUGGAGAUUUACUGCCACACUGAUCAACAGUUCAUAUGCCUGACGUGCGCGAUGGAUGAACACAAAGGCCACGACACUGUGGAAGUUGCAGCAGAAAAGUGUGAGAUGCAGAGAAAAGUGGAGAAGUCUAAACAGGAAAUUGCAGACAGAGUGCUGAAUACAGAGAGGAAAAUGGAGGAACUGAGGGAUGCUGCAAACUCUAUAAGAGAUGCAGCAUGGGAGGCGUGUGAUAACUUUGAGCGGCACAUCAGUUUAUUCGUCCGAUCUGCGGAGGAGAAGUGCUCUGAGAUGAGAGAGAAAGUUGGAGAAGCAGAGAAAGCUGGAGUGGACUGGACCUACAGCCACCUCGGGCAACUGCAGCGUGAAGUGUUUGAACUGAAGAGGAGGGAGGAUAAACUCAACCAGCUCUCACUUACAGAGGAUCCCAUUCAUUUUCUUAAGGGUUUCCAGGCUCUGGGCGACCUGUCUGCAUUCCCACACUCACAUGAACGAGUCGACACACUGACAGAGUUUGUCAGUGCACAGAAAGAGAGACUGAAAAAUAUUUGCCACAAAGAAAAGAACGAAUUAUUAAUUUGUUUGGAGCAAAACAAAUUAAUAAGGUUGCCAAAAAUACCCACAAUGCCAGAGGAAAUACGAUCAAGGAGACAACUUCUUACCAAAUGUAAGAACUGCAAGGUGGAGGUGGAUCCCCACACAGUAGCAGCAUGUCUCUGCUUGUCCAACAAUAACAGAGAGAUAUCGUGGAGUGAUUCCGGCCGGUCUCAUCCUGAUCACCCCCACAGAUUCACCUUCUAUCACCAGGCUCUGUGCAAAACAGGCCUUAAAGGCAGCCAAUACUGGGAGGUGGAGUGGGAUGGUGGCAUUAUUGAUGUGGCUGUGUCAUACAAAGGGAUUAAAAGAAAGGGUUCAGGGAAGGAUUGCUGUUUUGGCCACAAUACUCUGUCCUGGAAAUUAACCUGCUCUCCUUCUGGCUGCACAUUUUGGCACAAUAAUCUUCACAAAGGCCAAAUACCUCCAGCUCGCUCCUGCAGAGUAGGUGUACACCUUGAUUACAGUGCAGGAAGGCUGGGUUUCUACAACGUUUCUGGCUCUGGUGGGUUGACGCUGCUUCACCAAACCCAGGCCACCUUCAGUGAACCUGUCUAUCCUGGGUUUUGUGUUGAUUUAGGUGCAACACUGAAAAUAUGCAACAUCUAAGCCAGACCACAUAUUAUCACAUUUAAGGCCUGGUUAGUGACAUUCAGAAUAAACUCCAGAGGGCACAAAACAAAUGAAUGAGUGUAAUCCUGAAACUUAAUCUGUAAUAUUCUGACUGAAAAAACAUGUACCAGUGUAUGAAAUUACUUUGCACUGGUGAAAUAUUCUCACAGCUAUUUUACAAGAGUUAACUGAACGCAUUUUACAUUGUUUCAAGGCUCUAAUGGUUGAAAACAUGGAUUUAUACUCUUCUUUAUGCUUUGCGAUGAAAUAACUUUCAUUCAAGCCAAAGAUCACAUCAGGGUGCAUCUUCAAAGUGGCCUGGAACAGAGCUUGGAACAUGGCUGUUCUGCACUGCCUUUAUAUAUCAUAGUUUAAUUUUUUUGUUGUUUGUUGUAAGUUGGAGGAUCACAAUGGAAAUAAGACUGUCAGAUAUUAUUGUGUUUGAAUUCUUGGCAUUUGUAACUACUGUUUUUGCAUAUUCUGUAUUUUUAAUUAAACUCAGAAUAUUUCACUCUUAUACUGCCCAAAAGUAAAAUAAGAGUUCAAAAUAA